ensembl:lncRNA
GGAAAGGUUUUCCCAGAAAUCGAACGUGUGCCUCCUGCAUUGCAGGCGGAUUCCUUACCACUGAGCCAUGAGGCAAAGCCCUGCAAAGACACGAUGACUGCCGAGUAGGUCAAAGCUGAACCAUUCUCAGAGCCAGCUUAGGGCUAGGAGAUGUUUUGAGUCCCCCCGCCAGAAUGGAGAGAACUCAUUCAUUGUUCAAGGACCUUCAGAGUGACCUCAAAAUUGUCAUGCCUUAGUAGGGGGUAGACCAGAUGCAACAAAGCUUAAAAACAAACCUACAAAGGAUCAAGCUGAUCUGCAAAGCACUCACACAGCAUGUGACGCCCCUACAAAUGACAGGAUUUUUCUUCCUAUCCUUGAAGUGACAGCUUGUCUUUCCUCUC